GAUGAACGCUGGCGGCGUGCCUAAUACAUGCAAGUCGAGCGAACGGACGAGAAGCUUGCUUCUCUGAUGUUAGCGGCGGACGGGUGAGUAACACGUGGAUACCCUACCUAUCAGACUGGGAUAACUUCGGGAAACCGGAGCUAAUACCGGAUAAUAUUUUGAACCGCAUGGUUCAAAAGUGAAAGACGGUCUUGCUGUCACUUAUAGAUGGAUCCGCGCUGCAUUAGCUAGUUGGUAAGGUAACGGCUUACCAAGGCAACGAUGCAUAGCCGACCUGAGAGGGUGAUCGGCCACACUGGAACUGAGACACGGUCCAGACUCCUACGGGAGGCAGCAGUAGGGAAUCUUCCGCAAUGGGCGAAAGCCUGACGGAGCAACGCCGCGUGAGUGAUGAAGGUCUUCGGAUCGUAAAACUCUGUUAUUAGGGAAGAACAUAUGUGUAAGUAACUGUGCACAUCUUGACGGUACCUAAUCAGAAAGCCACGGCUAACUACGUG
rnacentral:rRNA from 1 species